UACAGGGGGUGCAAACGUUGCUCGGAAUCAUUGGGCGUAAAGCGCACGUAGGCGGUUCGUUAUGUCGGAUGUGAAAGCCCUUGGCUUAACCGAGGAAGUGCAUCCGAAACUGGCGAGCUAGAGUACGAAAGAGGAUCGCGGAAUUCCCGGUGUAGAGGUGAAAUUCGUAGAUAUCGGGAGGAACACCGGUGGCGAAGGCGGCGAUCUGGGUCGAUACUGACGCUGAGGUGCGAAAGCCAGGGGAGCAAACGGG
rnacentral:rRNA from 1 species